AAUAUCUUCAUCCAUUUUAUGUUCAUAUUGCUUAAAGCUAUUUAGAAUGAAUUCAACUGAUGUAAUUGCUCCAUAAUAAGACAAUUAUUAGCCAUUUUGCAAUUAUUAAAACGAUUAACUAGAAAUUUCUCGUUACUUGCAUCUUCGGCCAUGUAUCUUCCUUCUAAUUUGUCAUAAAGUUGUUUUUCACUCGCUUCAUUCUGGUAUGCAUCAAACAAUGCAUCUGACAUUCCAUUAAGAAUGUGUCCCAUGCAUAUGUAGUCAUUAUUAUCCCAUUUUUGCCUCAAAUGAGUUUGCUUCGCAGAUUCUUCAUCAUCUUUUUCAUCCAGCCUUUGGUGUAUUUAAAACAUAAGCGACCUUGAGAGUUGUAAGGAGGAAACGUGUCAUGACCCGGAACUCCCCUCAAGCUCAUGACAACUGUCGCGGUGCCUUGAUGGGCACUCAUAUCCAGAAAUGCCAAC
rnacentral:lncRNA from 1 species